rnacentral:rRNA from 1 species
CAGUCGCCGCGGGAAUGCGUAGGGGGCAAGCGUUAUCCGGAUUUACUGGGUGUAAAGGGAGCGCAGACGGCAAUGCAAGUCUGAAGUUAAAGGCUGUGGCUUAACCAUAGUACGCUUUGGAAACUGUUUAACUUGAGUGCAAGAGGGGAGAGUGGAAUUCCAUGUGUAGCGGUGAAAUGCGUAGAUAUAUGGAGGAACACCGGUGGCGAAAGCGGCUCUCUGGCUUGUAACUGACGCUGAGGCUCGAAAGCGUGGGGCGCAAACAGGAUUAGAUACCCCGUAGUCCCUGUCUCUUAUACAC